AAAAAGUCAAACCCUGGGUUUUCAUGUCCAACUUUAAAUUUUUUUUUAUAAUUUAUAUUUUCAUUGUUGUUAGAUGAUAAAACAUGAUUAAUAUUUUAUGCGUGACUUGUCUUUUUAAUUAUUUUUAUAAUUUUUUCAAAUAAAAUGAAUGGUCAAUGUUGGACACAGAAACUAGGGUUUGUCUUUUU
rnacentral:pre_miRNA from 1 species